rnacentral:lncRNA from 1 species
UACAAUACCUUCAAGUAGAUCUAUCAAGGUCCAUACUUGAUUUGAGUGCAUUGAGUCAAUUUCUGACUUCAUUAUCUUUAACCACUUCUCGGAGUCGAUAUCUAAUAUCAUCUCGUUAUAGGUCUUAGGAUCAUCUGCAUAUACCCUAUUUUCUUUAAAGAAUAUUUUCUCUAAAUCCUUUGAGAUAAUACCUAAGUACCACUC